rnacentral:rRNA from 1 species
UCGAGGGGAAACGAUAGAGAAAGCUUGCUUUUUCUAGGCGUCGACCGGCGCACGGGUGAGUAACGCGUAUCCAACCUGCCCAUCACUUGGGGAUAACCUUGCGAAAGUAAGACUAAUACCCAAUGAUAUCCGUCGAAGACAUCUGAAGUGGAUUAAAGAUUCAUCGGUGAUGGAUGGGGAUGCGUCUGAUUAGCUUGUUGGCGGGGUAACGGCCCACCAAGGUAACGAUCAGUAGGGGUUCUGAGAGGAAGGUCCCCCACAUUGGAACUGAGACACGGUCCAAACUCC